UACGGAGGGUGCAAGCGUUAUCCGGAUUCACUGGGUUUAAAGGGUGCGUAAGCGGGCAUUUAAGUCAGUGGUGAAAUACCUGAGCUUAACUUGGGAACUGCCAUUGAUACUAUUUGUCUUGAAUGUCGUGGAGGUUAGCGGAAUAUGUCAUGUAGCGGUGAAAUGCUUAGAUAUGACAUAGAACACCUAUUGCGAAGGCAGCUAACUACGCGAAUAUUGACGCUGAGGCACGAAAGCGUGGGGAUCAAACAGG
rnacentral:rRNA from 1 species